rnacentral:rRNA from 1 species
UGAGGAAUAUUGGGCAAUGGGCGCAAGCCUGACCCAGCAACGCCGCGUGAGGGAAGAAGGUUUUCGGAUUGUAAACCUCUGUCGCAGAAGACGAAGAAUGUGACGGUACCUGGAGAAAAAGCAACGGCUAACUACGUACCAGCAGCCGCGGUAAUACGUAGGUUGCAAGCGUUGUCCGGAUUUACUGGGUGUAAAGGGCGUGUAGGCGGAGAUGCAAGUUGGGAGUGAAAUCCCGGGGCUCAACCCCGGAACUGCUUUCAAAACUGUAUCCCUUGAGUAUCGGAGAGGCAAGCGGAAUUCCUAGUGUAGCGGUGAAAUGCGUAGAUAUUAGGAGGAACACCAGUGGCGAAGGCGGCUUGCUGGACGACAACUGACGCUGAGGCGCGAAAGCGUGGGGAGCAAACAGGAUUAGAUACCCUGGUAGU